CAAUGGGCGGUCCGCGCGCGCGGACCCGGAUCAGGAAACGCGCGGGGGCGUGAUGGAUGCCGCUCUCCUCCCGGGCGGGCGGGAGGAGCAAGCCGGGGCUUGGGUUCCUCGGCCCCCCCAACUUGGACUCCGGCUGAGAAGUCGGGGCCUGAGGCAGAAUUUGUACAGCAUUUUUUUUUUCAUUUACGAUUUGGAACCUUCCUAUAUUGCAGUUGACAGAGACGCUGACAAGAGCUAAACAUGUCUCCAUUACUGGGCGCUAUUGUGAGACCUCCACCCUAGAAUGGGAAUGGAGAGGCGAUGCCUGCACAAAACCCGGCUUUGAAUCCAGUAACUUCUCAUUACAGAACAAACCCCACAAGCCUGAGACAGAAUAAGACCCUUACGGGUCUGAUCGCCAACUGGUCUUCUAACCGUUUUUGUUUGUUUUGUUUUUCCCCUCCUUUUGGAUGCCCCUUCUUCAAGCUGUAUUUGGGGCAAGGGCUAUAUUUACAGGACAGUCUGUAAUUUCUGAAUUGCUGAAAAUUAACAUAUUAACAAUAUCAGUAGCUCCGGAAAGGAAAGAGAGGGGACUGUUGUCUGCCAUUUGGUAAUUGAAAUUUGGUGGGUAAACUAAUUAUGUCAUUAUUAACAAAUAAAUUACAUAUUAAUUCCA